GAUCAUAAGAAUGGCUGUCAUUUUGGUUCCUAACCUGGUGAAUUCAUUUUUCAGCUCUCCUACAUGUCGUCUUUUACAGAAACUGUUUCCUGAUUUUCAUUAAUGGUUUGGCCACUCCCUGUUUAUGUCCCAGAGAACCUUUCAGGCCCAUCAGAAUACUUACCAUGCUGAACUGAAAUUGCCUGCUUCCCUGUCCAUCUGUACCCAGAGCUCUGUGAUUAAUUUAUAACCUGCAACAUCUACCAUAGUUCUUAGGCAGGUGCUUGGUAAAGACUUUCUGAAUAUAUGAAUAACUUGAGGAAGAACUCACUCUUCCUUCUGAAGAAAUCCUGAAACCCCUGAAGAUUCAAUGAAAAUACUUCUUGUAAAGCUUUUUCAUCUUUACCCCAAAACAGAUGACACUCUGUUGCCUAAGGGCAUGUAACCUCCCCCAUAGUUACUUGGUAAAUUUCAAACUAACACAGAGGAAGUUUUCUUUUUCACAAUUUAAUUAUCACCAAAUUAGGUUAUCUGGUUCAUAUAUGCUUUUUUCACUCCUGAAGUAAGACUGCCCUGCCCCGCUAGUGGACUAUACAAGGUUACUUAAAUUCUCUAAGCCUUAGUUUCUUCUGUAUUAUUAUAUGGAUAAUAGUGUUAAACUCAGUUCAUUUAUAAAACAUUUAUUCAGCGUUUAGUAGCAUUUGUAAAGCAUGACCUAAAUGUUUUACAAAUAUUAGUCAAACGAGUGAUUAAAUGAUAUAAGGCAUGUAAAACACAUUCUUGGCACAUAGCAAAGAUGUGAUGAAUGUUGGCUAAUGUAUUACAUCUAGGAAAAGCUGUGAGUAGGGGAAAAUAUAUAUAUAUAGAGAGAGAUGGAGAACCCUGAUAGCUCUGGAAGACAUUUUCAAAUGGAAAUGAAUUACUGAAGUCAUUCUUUAGAGAAAAGUUUGGGAUUCUACACUACAAAGACAGGGUUUCGGUUUUCUUUCUGUGGACCACAGAUUUUAAGUCCUAAAGUUCACACUUGAAAGGAAAUCUUGAACUUUAACAUUAAUUCUGUAAAUAUUUUCAAAUCUUUUAUUCUCUUUGAAAUAUAUAUAUUUUCAGCCUAAUCCACUGACUGAUGCUAGAUAAGGGGCACUGCUGUAUGACGAUGAUGACACUGUGACAACAGCAGCCUGACACUGAUUGACCGCUACUCAUGUGCCAAGCACCGUGGGAAUCAGCCAUCUUUGGAGUUGCAGGCAAAACAUUCCUUUAAAGGUCAAUCAUAAGCAAAUUUGUCCUAUGUAAAAUAACUACUUGCCAAUUCAUCUUUGGAGUUGUAAAUUUAACAUCCCAACUAAGUAAGAAGCUGGAAAUGGGAAACAACCAAGGAAAUAGAAGCUAAAGGCCUUUAGCAGGAAAGUUUGGUCUAGAUUUCGAUGCAAUAAGGAGCUGAAGGAAGAAGGAUGUUUUCUGCUACAGAGAAGAGAAACUGAAGGCUGCUUCUACAGGACCAGCACUAGGGGGCACCGGAGCAAAGUAUACUGAGCAUGACCUGUGACUGCCAAAGAGCUUCAACUCUGGAAAUUAGGGGAACAGAGGAAAUACCCAUUGGUGAAACUCAGUGCACUUUUUCAAAUAAAGAUCUAAUCCUGUUCUUGAUACAGUCUUCUCAUAUACUUCAUUUUAUAAAACAGUGCUCACUGUUGAGUUAAAUUGUAACUUAAACUUCAAAUAUAACUAUCAUUCAUAAUCUCCUGAAUGAUAGUGUUCAUGAAAAUAGAGAAAAUAAAUUUUAGAAAGUAACCUCUAAAAAGAAAUUCUGCAAUAUGUAUCAAGUAUUAAAAGGAUGUACAAUCUUUGACCUAGCAAUUCCAUUUCUAAGAAUACGAUGCAAGAUGAAACAAUGUAAAACACAUUAAAAGCUUUUGCCAUCAGAAUGCCCAUCAAGACAUUAAUUUUAUUAGUCAAAAUAUUUACACAACCUAAAUACUGAAUAGAGUGGUAAAAUAAAUUAUAGCAUAGCCUACAAGAUGGACUGCCAGGCAUAUAUUAAAAAUAUUAUAUUUAAACAUUUCUUAAUAACUGAAGA